AUAACUUCGAGAAAUUGAAGGUAAAACCGGAUAAAGAAUUUGUUCUGGAAUGAACUUUUCUUCAAAAGCAAUGCGGAACGGAGGGAUGGCGGCUGAUUAGGUUGUUGGUGGGGUAAAGGCCCACCAAGCCAAAGAUCAGUAGGGGCCUUGAGAGAGGUAGCCUCUAGAAGGGUACUGAGGAACUGACCCUAGCCCUACGGGGUGCAGCAGGCGCGAAACCUUUACACUGCACGAAAGUGUGAUAAGGGGAUCCAAAGUGCUAGUACUUUUAGUAUUAGCUUUUUUCAAAGGCAAAUACUUUGAAGAAUAAGUGGUGGGAAAGACCGGUGCCAGCAGCCGCGGUAACCCCGGCGCCACAAGUGGCAUCCGCAUUUACUUGGCCUAAAGCGUCCGUAGCUUGUUUGAUAAAUCUCUUGUGAAACUGUUAGGCUCAACUUAACAACGUGCAGGAGACACUAUCUUACUUGGAACCGGGAGGAGUCAGAGGUAUUCCUUGGGGAGCGGUAAAAUGCUAUAAUCCUUGGAAGACCACCUGUGGCGAAGGCGUCUGACUAGAACGGAUUCGACGGUGAGGGACGAAAGCUAGGGGAGCGAUCCGGAUUAGAUACCCGAGUAGUCCUAGCUGUAAACUCUGCGAGUUAGGUGUUGCGCAUUCUUCGAGAGUGCGCAGUAUCGUAGCGAAGGCGUUAAACUCGCCGCCUGGGAAGU
rnacentral:rRNA from 1 species